GGUGGGGUGCCGGAGUGGUUGAACGGGGCGCUCUCGAAAAGCGUUGGAUCCGAAAGGGUCUCGUGAGUUCGAAUCUCACCCCCACCGCAA
rnacentral:tRNA from 1 species